rnacentral:lncRNA from 1 species
GGGGACCGCAGCCACCUCUGAAGAUGACGACGGUUUUACGACCCCAAUGAUGAGUGGGAGCAAGAUUAUCUGCCUCCUCAACCCCCGCCUCCUUUUCACGCAGAAGUGCGUGGCCCUAUCAGUGCCCCUAUUCCCUCCAAGUAGGGCAACCCCGCUUCAUCCAAGUGGCACCCUAUUCCCUCCAAGUGGCACCCUAUUCCCUCCAAGUGGCACCCUAUUCCCUCCAAGUGGCACCCUAUUCCCUCCAAGUGGCACCCUCAACAGUAGUGUACUUUGGGGACACAAGCCUAGUCUCUCCUCUUUUCAGUGUCUCUGUCCUCGAUUGAGCCCAAGCACAAAUGUGACAGAAGUUGGAACGAAAUCGAACAUGAUGAAUGUGGAAAAACCCUGUUUUUGAGGAGCAGAAUCCUGUUGAAGAGCAGGAGGAUUUCAGGGCGUCUCUAUGAAAUCAGAGUGCACCCUAUUCAGGGCCUUCAUUAUAGCAACUUGUCACAGUCCUCUGGUCGGCGUGUGUGAGGGAAGGACUUUGGUAAAAAAAAGACAGACUACCACAUAUAGGACAGUAUAUCGUUAGCUGUUAGAAAUCACUUCCUCAUAGUCACAUGAAGAUUCCGUUAUAUUUCACCUAACUUGUCUGUAUUUGUUUUGUUCCAGGUCUGUUGUGGCCAAACCACCCUCUCUGCAUCUCCUCAGACUCCGUCCUGCCGGGGAUCUGCAAAGAUCUGAUUGGUCAGACGGUAGGGCGGCUGCGCGACUGUCAUAGCCACGAGGAGAGCAUGGCAGACAAGCCGACCUCUGACCUCUGCUGCGUGUACACGGCCGUGACGACCAUCUCCGACCUGUAUGACGGCCUGGACGUUGACAGUCAGGAGAACAGGCUGUGACUCUGCGAUCUCAUCCAUGGUGAACGAGGCCCAGUGUCCCACUCGUCCAUGGUGAACGAGGCCCAGUGUCCCACUCGUCCAUGGUGAACAAGUGCUCAGUGUCUGGACUCGGCCCUGCAGGUCAUCAGCUACCUGGCAGCGUUGACCGGGACCCAGCUCCACAUGACCGAGCUGUGGGCCGAGGCCACGGGCAAGCGGUCUGUGGUCCUGUCUCUGUUGGGUGGGGACCUGUAAAGGGGUGCAUUCUCUCCAGGAGGGGUGCAUUCUUCAGGCGAGGGGGUGCAUUCUCUCCAGGAGGGGUGCAUUCUCUCCAGGAGGGGUGCAUUCUCUCCAGGAGGGGUGCAUUCUCUCCAGGAGGAGGGCCAUUCUCUCCAGGAGGAGGGCCUAACUAUCUCCAGGAGGAGGGCCUAACUAUCUCCAGGAGGAGGGCCUAACUAUCUCCAGGAGGAGGGCCUAACUAUCUCCUGGAGGAGGGCCUGACUAUCUCCUGGAGGAGGGCCUGACUAUCUCCUGGAGGAGGGCCUGACUAUCUCCUGGAGGAGGGCCUGACUAUCUCCAAGGAGAAGCUGAGCGAUACUCAGCUGACCUACCCCAGGACUCCGGUACCUAGUCACCAUUUAUCUAUAGGAGUUGUUUUGAUAUACUUUGAGAGGGAUCAUCAAUGAAAUGUAAUGUAAAAAAAUAAAAAUAAACAUUUUUAAAGCCACGAAUGGCAAUAAUGACUUGCAUAGGAGAUAAUCUGGAAUAUGAUUACAAUAUUAUUUCUUCAGAACACCUAUUUUUCUCUUAUCAACCAUUCGUCUUCCAACAAGAUACCAUAUGGCCUGUGUUUCUGGCAGGUUUUGCAGAGCCUCAAGUCAAAGAUGCUCGACCUGUCCUGCCCUCUCCAGAGUUAUAUCCACUGCCACAUGACAGUGAGCACUGAGCAACACAAACCCAACCAGCCCUGUCAGUCACGUGUUUAAAAGCUUCAGAUUAGUAGCCCCUCCCACAGCCAGCUCGGUAAAGGGAAAGCUCUACUAAAAAGCUAUCGUCUUGACGCUACGGUCUCACGUUGGGCCAGUCGUUCAGGUAAAUGGAUGCGUUGAAUGAAAUGCCGUCCGUCAGAACCUUUUUAACGUGCUUGUUUGCUGUUAUCUGCUGUGCACAGACUAUCGCCUUUGUCAGUGUUGAUCAUCGGCUGGGCUAAAUUCCCCUCCCGACUCCCCAUUGUCGUCAAACAAAAGGGGUCGGACGGACAAAAACCAGACACGUUGAAUCUCUGUGGGCCUCUUUCCAGAGAUUGUAGAGAGAGAGAGAGGGUGGUUUUCAUUUUUGUUUUCAUGACAAUGACAGAAGUCUUGAAAUUGUCAUAUGUUUUAUAAUGUCGUUGCAGUGAAACUAUUUGAUUGGAAUCGAGUGUUUCUGCACCACUGUAGUGGAUGGAGGAAGGGCUUUAAUAGGUUUGUCAGAGCAAACCGCUUAAUCAUAAUCUUUUUCCAGGGUUUUCCAUAUUGAAUGGUUUAAAGUGCAAGGUUUCUCUGAAUUGAAAAGGGUCUUAGGUGGCAGGGGACGUGACGUGGAGCAUGGCAAUGAGCGCGGUCGGCCCGUUGGCUAUUUAUUUAUUCUUAAAUAAAAAAUUAGAGGCUUCAUCUUCGCAGUGUAGAUGUAUUUUAUUUUUUUAAUUUCUUAAUUUUGAAGCCAAAUUCCUGCAAUUAUACAGAAAAUGUUGCCGUUUUAAAGCUAGUUUCCUGCAGUUCUAUGCAUUUUGCCAUGGCUAAUGCUGUUAUUUUGCUCAAACAUAAUACAAAUAAAUACAGCUAAAUUCAUUGUUUUGGGAAUUUUCCAUUUCUAUUCUCCCAGACUGUAUCGCUUAAUUGUGUGAUUUGUUAGUUCUCAAAACAAUAUAGGUCCAUUUGAUCUUUUCUAUAUCUGGUUUUAGUCGUUUUGUUUUUCCAUCCCGAUAAUGUCUAAAAAUAACUUGUGGACCGAGGCAGCCCGCCCAAAGGCACCGAGGCAGACCCCCCAAAAGGCACCGAGGCAGCCCCCCCAAAAGGCACCGAGGCAGCCCUCCCAGAAAAGGCACCCGAGAGUCAGCCCGCCCAAAAGGCACGUCAGGACGGCACCCCCACAAAGGCA